GGUGGUGCUGAUGUGGAGUAUGGAAACACCUGUUCCCAUUCCGAAUACAGAAGUUAAGCAUAUUCCAGUCGAUGAUACUGGUGGGCUUCCCGCUGGGAAAGUAGAUUAGUGCUACCA
rnacentral:rRNA from 1 species